rnacentral:rRNA from 2 species
GUCGUCAGCUCGUGUUGUGAAAUGUUGGGUUAAGUCCCGCAACGAGCGCAACCCUUAUCCUUUGUUGCCAGCGAUUCGGUCGGGAACUCAAAGGAGACUGCCAGUGAUAAACUGGAGGAAGGUGGGGAUGACGUCAAGUCAUCAUGGCCCUUACGAGUAGGGCUACACACGUGCUACAAUGGCAUAUACAAAGAGAAGCGACCUCGCGAGAGCAAGCGGACCUCAUAAAGUAUGUCGUAGUCCGGAUUGGAGUCUGCAACUCGACUCCAUGAAGUCGGAAUCGCUAGUAAUCGUGGAUCAGAAUGCCACGGUGAAUACGUUCCCGGGCCUUGUACACACCGCCCGUCACACCAUGGGAGUGGGUUGCAAAAGAAGUAGGUAGCUUAACCUUCGGGAGGGCGCUUACCACUUUGUGAUUCAUGACUGGGGUGAAGUCGUAACAAGGUAACCGUAGGGGAACCUGCGGUUGGAUCACCUCCUUA